rnacentral:rRNA from 1 species
CCCCUAGACGUUCUGGGCUGCACGCGCGCUACAAUAAUACGCACAGCGAGUAUCACCGAGCUCGAAAGGGCAAGGUAAACAAUAGAAAAGGUACUGUAAUGGUUAUAGAUCCAUGUAAUUAUUGAUCUUCAACGAGGAAUUCCUAGUAAGUAUGUGUCAUCAUCACGCACUGAUUACGUCCCUGCCCUUUGUACACACCGCCCGUCGCUCCUACCGAUUGGGUGAGCCGAUGAAACUCUCGGAUGUAGGCUAUUCAUAGCCCGCAGAAGAGAUUUGAAUCGUAGCGCUUAGAGGAAGGAGAAGUCGUAACA